AAUAGAUACCCCGGUAGUCCACGCCGUAAACGAUGGAUACUAGCUGUUUGAGCGCAAGUUUGAGUGGCUAAGCGAAAGUGAUAAGUAUCCCACCUGGGGAGUACGGGCGCAAGCCUGAAACUCAAAGGAAUUGACGGGGGCCCGCACAAGCGGUGGAGCAUGUGGUUUAAUUCGAUGAUACGCGAGGAACCUUACCAGGGCUUAAAUGUAGAUUGACGUAUUUGGAAACAGAUAUUUCUUCGGACAAUUUACAAGGUGCUGCAUGGUUGUCGUCAGCUCGUGCCGUGAGGUGUCAGGUUAAGUCCUAUAACGAGCGCAACCCCUGUUGUUAGUUGCCAGCGAGUAAUGUCGGGAACUCUAGCAAGACUGCCAGUGUAAACUGUGAGGAAGGUGGGGAUGACGUCAAAUCAUCACGGCCCUUACGUCCUGGGCCACACACGUGCUACAAUGGCCGGUACAGAGAGCAGCCACUUAGCGGAUAAGGAGCGAAUCUAUAAAGCCGGUCACAGUUCGGAUCGGAGUCUGCAACG
rnacentral:rRNA from 1 species